AUGGUCCUCAAGCUUGACUUCAGGAAGGCGUUCGACUCCAUUUCGUGGCCUUCUCUGCUCAAAAUUCUUCGCCAUCGGGGCUUUCCAGAUCGGUUUUGCUCUUGGAUUGAGGAUUUGCUCUCUUUCGGUAAAACUGUGUCAUUCUUAACGGGGUUCCUGGAAGCUGGAUUCAGUGCAAAAACGGUCUUCGGCAAGGCGAUCCCAUCUCGCUGUAUCUGUUCAUCAUCGUUGCCGAUGUUCUCCAAUCGCUCAUCCUGUCUGCUGCCUCUGAUCAAACCUACGAGCUUCACUACCCGGUCUACAAUGAUCUUCCGCCCUCCAUUCUGCAAUAUGCCGACGACACUCUUAUCAUUGCCCAUGCCUCCACUGCUGCUGCCCGCAAACUCAAGCAGCUUCUCGACGAUUUUGCCUUGGCAACUGGUCUCCGUAUAA
rnacentral:rRNA from 1 species